rnacentral:rRNA from 1 species
CAUACUGCCGUGAGUACGUUCCCGGGCCCUCGUACACACCGCCCGUCACACCAUGAGAGUUGGGGAGUACCCAAAGCCCGUGAGCCAACUGUAAAGAGGCAGCGGUCUAAGGUAGAAACAAUGAUUGGGGUGAAGUCGUAACAAGGUAUC